rnacentral:rRNA from 1 species
UACGGAGGUUCCAAGCGUUGUUCGGAAUUACUGGGCGUAAAGGGAGCGUAGGCGGACAGGUCAGUCUGAAGUGGAAUUCCGGGGCUCAACUUCGGACUUGCUUCGGAUACUACCUGUCUUGAGUUCGCGAUAGGAAGAUGGAAUUCAGGGUGUAGCGGUGAAAUGCACAGAUAUCCUGAGGAACACCGGUGGCGAAAGCGGUCUUCUGGCGCGAAACUGACGCUGAGGCUCGAAAGCGUGGGUAGCAAACGGG